AUUUAGAAAUGCCUGUUCUUUGCAGUUUUCACAUUCAUAACUGCUCCCAUAGUAAUUCAAAAUGUCCUUAGCCAUGUGGUCAGUGAUCCCUCCUAAUAAUAGAUUUAGCAAAUUUCUUCUUUUGAUCCAUUUUCAAUUUGGUACUAUGGCCUCUUGUUCGGCAGUUUGUACGCUUUGUUAUCCAGGUUUUGUUCCUUUUUAUCUGCUUUCUUUUUGGUGAUGGUUUCUUCAGAAGUUAUGAUGUUUGCCCAUGUAAAUACAGGGUUUGCAGGUGAUUGUCUUAGGCCACCUUGAAAGUAUGGCCAUGAAAAUAACUCUUGUGGCAAGCCAACAAAAAGAAAUUGCAUUAACGCUGCUUCCCUGUCCCUAACUAGUCCAGUUACGCUUGGGCAUUACAAGAGAUCGCAGGUCAGUGUGUAAUAUUAUGUACCUAUGUGCUGCAGUUUGACUCCCUAAGUAAAAGUGAGUUGUAUUUAUGUUUUUUAUUCAUGUCUUUUCAAAGAUUACCUUAACAUCCACGUGGAAAGAAGUAAAAAAAAUCAUUAAGGAAGAUCCUCGGUGUAUUAAGUUCUCCUCCAGUGACAGGAAAAAACAAAGAGAAUUUGAAGAAUAUAUCAGAGACAAAUAUAUCACAGCCAAAGCUGACUUCAGGACGCUUUUGAAAGAGACCAAAUUUAUAACAUAUAGUUAAUUUAGUGAAAGAUGUGAAAGUGAAAGCUUGUGAAAGAUGCUGGGAUUGGCAGCCCCGCAGACUGAAGUCCUCUGUUCAUCCACAGAACAGAUCCAAAAAAUUAAUCCAAGAAUCGGAUCAGCACCUGAAAGAUGUAGAAAAAAUUUUACAGAAUGACAAACGGUAUCUAGUACUGGACUGUGUGCCAGAGGAGAGGCGUAAACUGAUUGUGGCAUAUGUUGAUGACCUGGAUCGCCGGGGUCCACCCCCACCUCCCACAGCAUCGGAGCCCACGAGACGAUCAACAAAAUAAUUCUAAAUACUCUUCCAUAGGGGCAUCUAUUCAAAAUGCUUGCAUGAGCCAAUUUUCAGGUUUUUACAUAUAUGUGCAUUAGUCAACCUAUUGCGAAACCAUCUGACAAACAGAAGGAGAAGCAUUUGUGAACAGUUUCUGAACAGAACACUUUGGAAAUAUUUAUGCUUUUCUUUGUGUGGCAUGACUGACAUACAUACUCAAAUAUAGGCUGUCUCUAGUAAAUCUUAAAAUCUUGAAGCUAAAAUUCAUCCUUUUAUGAGGUGUGGAAGUCAGUGACUUGGUGACGUUCUUCCUAGCAGUGUUAAUACAUGCAAGAAGUAAGAGCAUUUGUGGCUUGAACUUGCCAGAUGCAAAUACCACAGACUCCAAGAAAACCCGAAUUGGGGUUUGUUUUGUUGUUUUUUUUUUUAAAGCGGGUAAAAGAGAAAACACUGAAAAUUGAAUUCUUAUCUUCCAGAGGCUACGAUUAUUAUAAUGGACAAUACUUUUACCUUUGUCUCUAAAGAUCAGAUUAGUUUUAUUUGUUCACUUACGUGCUUUGAUUAUCCCCUCUGAAUUAUAGACCAAGUCUUGUUGUUUAGCCUAAGAGAAGAUUUGUGUAGUAAUUUCUUCUCAGGUAUGGAACCACGGUCAUAACUAACAUGUUGGCCAGAAUAGAACCACUGGUUAAACAUAUUUUAUUCACCAUUAAGUGAUCUUUAUCAAUAUUCUGGAUUAGACAACAAAUUACCUUUCUGGGUGUUUCUUGUAAACUAUACUCCUGUUUGAAUGUUAAACUUUGUUGCUAAAGUUUAAUUUUAAGAUGUUUGAAUGUUCAGUUUAUGUAUUUGAACUACAAUAAACCAACCCUUUUUAU
rnacentral:sRNA from 1 species